rnacentral:rRNA from 1 species
UAAUUAAAAAUUAAUAAUUAUAUAUAUAUAUAUAUAUAUAUAUAUAUAUAUAUUUAAAUUAUUUGCAGUAUUUAAUUUUAAUAAUUAAAGAAAUUUAGAAUUAUUAUUUAUAAUAAAUAUAGGCAAAAAAAUGUGCCAGCAGCUGCGGUUAAACAUUAUAUAUUAAUAAAUAUUAUUUAUAAUUUAAUUUAAAAUAAAAUAUUAUUAAUAAAUUAAAUAUAAAUUAGGUGAAAUUUAUUUAUUUUAAUUAAAUUAUUAUAGUUUUAAUUUAAUAUUAAGAGAUCUUAUUAAUAAACUAGGAUUAGAUACCCUAUUAUUUAAGAUUUAAAAAAUUUUAGGGGAUUAAUAGAUAAGUUCUUUAAAUCUAAAAAAAUUGACGGUAUUUAAAACUAAUUAGGGGAACUUGUUUUUUAAAUGAUAAUCCACAAGGAACCUUACUUUAAUUAAAAAUUUAUUUAUUGCCGUUAUCAGAAUAUUUUGUAAGAAUUUAAAAUUUUCUUAAUUAAUUAAAUUUAUUUAUUUCAGGUCUUUAUGUAGUUUAUAUUAAAGUUAAAAUGAGUUACAAUAAAAUUUAUUUAUGUUGAAUAUUAGAUUGCAAUAUUUAAUUGAAAUUGGAUUUAAUAGUAAAAAAAAAAAUUAUAUUUUUUUGAAUUUAGAAUUAAAUAUGUACAUAUCGCCCGUCACUCUCAUUUUAAGGUGAGAUAAGUCGUAACAAAGUAGAGGUACUGGAAAGUGUUUCUAGAAUAGUUUAAAAUUAAAUUAAAAUUUUAUUUUAAUUGAUUGUUAAUUGGUUAUAGAUUAUGUUUAAGUAAUUAAUUUAAUAUAAAUAAAUUUUAAUAGUAUUAAUUAUUAUUAUUAUUUUAAUAUAUUUUGAAUUUAAUAUUAUUAAUUUU